CUGGUGAGCUGGUGCGAUAGCUAGCGUACAUUCAGUACAAACAUCGUCGCUUUAAGGCACAUAUUCGUGUUGAUAAAUUGUCAGAGGUUAGAAGUGGACAGGAUUUCAAGAUGAAUUUGAUAAUUUUUUGUACCAUCAUAAUCCUCCUUUCAGCGACAUUGCCGUCAUUAUCGAAGAAACCUUGCGGCUAUUUAAGUUAUUUAUGCGGCCCACAUCGUCCUCCUUGUUGUAGGGGAUUUCAAUGCAUCAGAAAAGGAAGAUUCUUCUUCUGCAUAGACCAGUGGGAAGAUCAACCGUUCUGAAAUUCUGAAUCACUGCUCAAGAUUGAAUAGGACAAAGUUAUCUUCUUCGACUACAUAACCAAACUGUAUUUCAUUAAUGUGUUUUGAUCUGGGGCUAAGGGUUGAUAAAAAAAUAAAGGUUAUGAAAAUUUAAA